rnacentral:rRNA from 1 species
CAGCAGCCGCGGGAAAACGAAGGGUGCAAGCGUUACUCGGAAUUACUGGGCGUAAAGCGUGCGUAGGUGGUGGUUUAAGUCCGUUGUGAAAGCUCUGGGCUCAACCUGGGAAUUGCAGUGGAUACUGGGUCACUAGAGUGUGGUAGAGGAUAGUGGAAUUUCCGGUGUAGCAGUGAAAUGCGUAGAGAUCGGAAGGAACAUCUGUGGCGAAGGCGACUAUCUGGGCCAACACUGACACUGAGGCACGAAAGCGUGGGGAGCAAACAGGAUUAGAUACCCGGGUAGUCCCUGUCUCUUAUAC